UACGUAGGUGACAAGCGUUGUCCGGAUUUACUGGGCGUAAAGAGCGCGCAGGCGGUCGAUCAAGUCGAGUGUGAAAGCCCCCGGCUCAACUGGGGAGGGUCAUUCGAUACUGAUCGACUCGAAGGCAGGAGAGGGUAGUGGAAUUCCCGGUGUAGUGGUGAAAUGCGUAGAUAUCAGGAGGAACACCGAUGGCGAAGGCAGGUCUCUGGGCCGAUACUGACGCUGAGGAGCGAAAGCGUGGGGAGCGAACAGG
rnacentral:rRNA from 1 species